rnacentral:rRNA from 1 species
ACGGAAGGCAGCAGUGAGGAAUAUUGGUCAAUGGACGCAGGUCUGAACCAGCCAAGUCGCGUGAGGGAUGGCGGUCCUAUGGAUUGUAAACCUCUUUUGUCGGGGAGUAACGUGCGGGACGUGUCCCGCAUUGAGAGUACCCGAAGAAAAAGCAUCGGCUAACUCCGUGCCAGCAGCCGCGGUAAUACGGAGGAUGCGAGCGUUAUCCGGAUUUAUUGGGUUUAAAGGGAGCGCAGGCGGCGCGUCGAGUCAGCGGUAAAAUGUCGGGGCUCAACCCCGGCCGGCCGUUGAAACUGCCGUGCUCGAGUUCGUGCGAGGAGAGCGGAAUGCGUGGUGUAGCGGUGAAAUGCAUAGAUAUCACGCAGAACGCCGAUUGCGAAGGCAGCCCUCCAGCACUGGACUGACGCUGAGGCUCGAAAGCGUGGUAUCGAACAGGAUUAGAUACCCUGGUA